rnacentral:rRNA from 1 species
GACGAACGCUGGCGGCGUGCCUAAUACAUGCAAGUCGAGCGAAGUUUUUCUGGUGCUUGCACUAGAAAAACUUAGCGGCGAACGGGUGAGUAACACGUAAAGAACCUGCCUCAUAGACUGGGACAACUAUUGGAAACGAUAGCUAAUACCGGAUAACAGUAUUUCUCGCAUGAGAGAUAUUUAAAAGUUGGUUAUGCUAACACUAUGAGAUGGCUUUGCGGUGCAUUAGCUAGUUGGUGGGGUAAAGGCCCACCAAGGCGACGAUGCAUAGCCGACCUGAGAGGGUGAUCGGCCACACUGGGACUGAGACACGGCCCAGACUCCUACGGGAGGCAGCAGUAGGGAAUCUUCCGCAAUGGGCGAAAGCCUGACGGAGCAACGCCGCGUGAGUGAAGAAGGAUUUCGGUUCGUAAAGCUCUGUUGUUAGGGAAGAAUGGAUAUGUAGUAACUAUACAUGUAAGAGACGGUACCUAACCAGAAAGCCACGACUAACUACGUG